UCAAAGCAGCACUAACCCAAGUUUGGACAUCACUUAUCAUGAGCUGAAAAUCAUAGCUUUUGAAGUUACCCAUCUCAGCUAUAGAACUCUGGAGCUCGUCCACCGAGUCACUUAACUCUUCGAGGCAGUCUCUCAUGGCACCAACUUCUUUAGGCUUCAAGCCAUGGCUUUGGGAGAGUUUUAGCAUCACGGCAGAGGUGGAUUUGGCAGAGGAAAGUGUCACAUUAAGGGCUGCACCAGCCAUGAGCUUAGGACUUGUUUGGAUUGUGCUUGCAUGGCUUGAGAGAGAGGUGAGGCAGAGUUUAGGGUAGGUUGUUGCACUGCAAGAUGUUUUGAUGAAUUCAGUGUUGGUUUUUGGUGCAAGGUCUCUGGCUGCUGAGGUUGAGGAGAUUAUGCAGAAACUAAUGGAAAGUGCUGUGAGAAAACAUGUGGCAAAAUGUGUAGAAGAUGAAGAAGACUCCAUCUUGAUAUUUUUGUGUCUCUGAAUAUUGGAGGCAGUGGAGGGAGUGAUGAGAGUAGGGAGGGAAAUGUGCCAAUUUAUAGAACCCAAGUUCGAAAAAAACAACAAAAUCCCUAAAAUAAAAUAAUAUUGAUGAUAAUAAUAAAAAAUUCUAGCAGCCUCAAAAUGAAUAUGGAAAAAUCUUGUCGGGGGGGCCAAAAGCCGAGAUACAUCUACUCUUUAACAUAAUAUGAAGUAGCAAGUUGGUUUCUUUGGUUUCUCAACUUGCUGCAACAAGUUGGUCGAUUUGGGUCUAAAAGCAAAAGCAAAUGUGAAACAAAAGAGCCUUGGUCUCCUACUCAUCUAAACCUUCAUAAUCAAAUCAAUCGCACCCAAAGUUGAUGGGUGAGCCAGUCGACUGCUGUGUGUAUCUGUAUUUUUGCAACUUGAGCGUUUUUGGUCGACAUGUAUAACAAUAAAAAUCUCUCCCCUUAAAAGAAGCACUCCAAAAGGGAUUUAAUGCAUGCAAGAGUCCAAAGGGCCAAUCAAGAUCAGGUGGAGAUUGAUUGGAGUGGAGUGGAAGGCUCCAAACGGUACUAUUUUUUAUUUGAAAAUAUUUUUGGCUGAUUAUUUUUAAUACUUGACACGUGUUUAUAAGUAUAAUAAUUGUUAACUUUAUGGAUCUAUUGUUAUGCAUAUGAACACGUUUUAAGUGUUGAGAAAUGUCAUGAGGAUAAAUCUUGAGUUAAAAUUGUAAGAAAAAUGCUUAUUUAUUUAUUUAUUUAAAUUUUAUAAGAUUAUAGAAAAAUUUGGGCCCAGACAAAAACAAAGCUUCAUCUUUGGGCCUACUCUAUAACUAAGCUUCAUGAUUUUUAUUGAUGAUACAGCACACGUGAUGGUCCAAACAAAAUAAAAAUAAAAACAAAAACUUGAGUUAUGCCUAUCCCUUCUCAACGCGAAUCUAUGAUGCUCAUUGGCCUAAUUAUCAACAACAGCAAACCAAACCAUGUGCAGACUGCAAACUAGAAAAGAAAUGAACUUUUAAAAACAGCAAUAUUGCACAAGUCAAAAGAUGGCAUUUUAUAAUUUAAUAUAAUGAACGAAUUAAACUAUUGAGUUCCAUUUUCUCAAUAAACAAACCAAUUUCGAUGCUUUUCACGUAACACAGUUGGAACUUGUUUGUUACAUAGCCCAUAUAACCGGAAAUUCAAACACAUGCAUUUCUGGUAACUUAGUUGAAUGUUAUCUACUAAUUCACCACAAAUCAUGGUCAUGUGAAGUGGGAAUAUUAAGAGGAGGCUAAGUUUUUUUGGGGGGUUACAUAACUUGUUAUUGUUCUCGGACAAAAAAAAUACGAAGCACAAUUUGUUUCAUCAAUAGUCUAUCGUUUAGUAUCUAAUUAUGUCUAGUUUUUUUGCGUUAGUGUAAGUUUUAUGAAUAUAAGAGAUAGUCUAAACUAAAAUGGAAAGGAUGGUUUCUCACAUGACACUACUACUAGCCUAGAUCCCGUUAAUUGCAAUGAUUAAAUUUUCUGUAGCUGGAUUGGGCUAAAUAUUUUGUUUUGCCAACAAAAAUGAUUGGGAAUUUGGAUGAACCGUUACAUUAUUUUACUACACGUUUUCAAGAAAUUAACGGAAAAACGUAAUCCCUGUUUUCUUCCAUAAAUUAUGGGAUUUGGAAGUUAAGUUAACGGGUACAUAGUGUAGCCGCCUUGAUCACUCGCACGUUGAAGUGUAAGAUUCUUAUUCAAAUGCAAAUAAUGCAAACAUACACGUGGAAAAUGACAAGUGGCUAGACACCUGUGGUUGCAGCAAUGUUGAAGUUGGCAGAAUCGUAGAGAAUCAAGACCGUAGGCAAGUCCACAUCUCUCAACAGAAACACCGCCUAUCGUCCAGCAGCGUUUCACGCUACACUUACAAUGCAUGCGGACAUGUGUUUUGCCUGCACGUUCUUGUUCGGUUUUGACUUCUGAAACGUGAAUGAUUCGUGUCCAUAUCUGUUAGGGUAGCCACAUGGCACACCUUAGGCCCAUGCUGCCGUAUAUCCUCACUUCCAGUAAACAAAUUCAAUACACUUUCUUUUCCGUAUAUCCUCACGUAUUUCAUCUCAUUUUUUCCUUGCAAUUACAUUAACCUCAAAUGCUUCUUUCAUAGUUUUUCUUUAAUAUAAGUGAUUUUCUAUUUUAAUUUUACAGGAAAGGGGAUUCGAACUUGGAUACAUAGUGGAGAAUACAUCCGUUCUAGCCAAUUUAACUAAAUUCAUGUCCACGCUUCUUUGAUAGUUAAAUCAAUUUUAAACAUUAACAAUAUUAAAAUUGAAGCAAAGUCUCUUCAAUCUAUACCAAUUAAGUAUUCUAAGCCGGCAGAGUGAGAAUGAUUUAAUUUUGAUUUCAAAAGUGCAAAGGUGGCUAUUGUUGUAAGCCUUUGAAUUAAGUAUGUUUUGACAAGAAUUACCAAUUUAGCACCCGUUUAUGCACAUAGGUUAUUUGGUCCUUUGGGAUCAUUCUCCAAGAUAUUCUCCCUUGUUUUUGUUCAUAUGUUUUUAUCUACAUUAUUAGCUCUUAAAUUUUAAUUAUUUUUUAUCUGUUGGGUCUGGCGCAAGAUCCAAAACGUACACUCAAGCUAGCAAAUGAACAUGCGCCAUAUCAUCUUUUGCUUAUACUUUAUUUUUAAAAAAAUAGAGGGGCCAUUAUGAUUUUUAAUUUGGACUUAUAAAAUGGCUAGCUUGGACUUUAUUUAUCUUUUAUUUUUUAAUACGCUUUGAGUUUCAAAGUCACCUGAGAGUUGCCUAUAAAUUGGCAACUGGCAUCCCAUCACAAACACACACAGUUCCAUAAAUUCAAGAAAAUAAAAAAUGGGAGCUCAAAAUUUCACAACCCCAACCUCAAAUUCACACAAUGCUCUCACAUUUCUCCUCCCAAUUCUCCUAUUGAUCUUCAUGCCAAACAUGCACACAACAUUGGCAACUUCUUCUUCUUCUCAGACCUACAAAACCUACGUCAAAACUGCCUGCAACACAACCACAUACCCACUCAUUUGCUACAAAUCUCUCUCCUCAUACGCCUCCAAAGUCAAAUCCGAUCCUCAAAAGCUUUGUACCUAUGCCCUCUCCGUUACCCUAAAAGCAGCAAAAAACGCCUCUUCCGUAGUUUCAAAGCUUUAUAAAAAUACAGGAUUAACCCCAUCCGAGAAAGGGGUGGUCAAGGAUUGUAUAGAGAAUAUUAAGGACUCCAUUGACGAGCUCAAACAGUCGGUGAGUUCCAUGAGCAAUUUGGGGGUUUCGGGUUCCGACGUGCAAUUACAAUUGGAUGAUAUAAAGACUUGGGUGAGCGCCGUCAUCACGGAUGACGCUACUUGCACGGAUGGAUUUGAUGGUGUGAAGGUAAGCGCCGCGGUUAAGACCGCCAUCAGGAACAGCAUUGUGAAUGCUGCUAGGUUGGCUAGCAAUGCUCUUUCUCUCAUAGACAGCCUCAUUUACUAGUUCAACCCAUACCCUUUGUAUUUCCUUGUCUUUUUUUAUUUUUUAUUUUAUUUUACUUUGGUUGAUAUAGAAAGUUUACAGAUUUUAUAAUUUAUGUGUGUGUUUAAUGUAAUUAAAAGUUGUGUGAAAUGGUUUUGUGACUGUUGGAAGAGUGGUUUGUAUACUACUACUACUAUAUGUAAUGUUGUACAACAGAGGGAGUUUUGAGCAAUUUGAUAACAAAUAAGCAAACCCCUUAGCCCCCCAUGUUGAUCAAAGAUCCCAUCUAUAGUAAUUGGCGAUCGACAGAACUUUUAUUCUAUAGUUGUCUUUUAACAUUUUUGUUUCCGGUGCAUAAGAGCUUCCUAUGCGUGUAUUCUCAAAACAAAUAUAUAAAAAAUGAAGAUCUUCCCAUUCCCAUGUGAGUUCACAUUGAUGCAUGUAUGAAUUAUUCCAAAACCCUGUUUAUAAUAAUCCAACCCCGCAUCUUUCAGUGUAAAAUGCAAAUGCUAAACUAUUAUUGCCCAAUUUAAUUAUUUGCCAAACGUUCGGUGAAAUUAAAAGUCAAAGACGACAUGUAAGACAUGCAUGCAAGUUAAUAUUAGGGCUAGUUUGUUGGGGAGGAUUAGGCUAGACUAGAGAAGUAAAGUGAUUAUAUUUCAUGUGCAAUCAAUACAUAAUAUGGAUAUUGUUGUCUGAUUUGGAGGAUGAAAUUGAAUGAUGACUAUUCAUAAGAGGUUGAUGAUUAAAACUUAUCCCUUAUAAUCUCAUCAUUUUUAAGGGGAUAAGUUUUAGUCAUCAACCUCUUAUAGAUAGUCAUCAUUCUUCUUCCAAGUUCGGCAAGAUAUCCAUAUUAUGCCUUGAAUGCACAUGAAAUGUAGGCAUUUUACCAGUUUAGUCCUUCCUAUCACACAAGUGAACAAUUUAUUGACAGUGGCGCACGGUUUUAAUUUUUUUUGUUUAAUUAGAUUAUAAUUAUUUUAAAUUAAUGAGAGUUACACUUGAAGCAUGUGUUGUCAUAGAAGUAAUAGUGAACUAAAGCAAUGGUUAAUCUUGCAUAAUUAGUGUUUUUUAUUUCGAAAAAAGCAGCUAUGCAAACGUAAGAAAUGAAAUGAAUGUGUUGUGACUGUAAAUACAGUAGUUUUAUGCACAGUCGUCAGUUUUUCUUGUUGGUAAACAGUUCGUAAUUGAUAAAAUUCCCACACGGCAUCUCGGGUUUGUGAUGUGAGUUUUCUCCAAGCGCAAGGGUUUAUAAGUCAAAUUUUAAAUUGAUAUAUUCUUGCAUUAAUUCAAGCAUGGGAAUGGGGAUGAUCACAUGGAGAAUACAUGAUCUAAUGAUUCGAUAUCUUUUUUAGUCCUUUCGAACUUGUUCUCUUAUAAUUAAUUGAAAUUAGAAUCUCUAGAAAUUUUAAUUAAAAUAUGCUUGCAUUAGGUCAGUGGCACUACCCAACCAUCCAUCACAAUUACACAAACGUCCUUGGAAACCAUGUGUUAAGGUUCAACUGACUAUUUACUAAUAUCGAUACUAUCUUUAAUUUAACCAUCAUAUUCUGGCAUGUAUAUGUGUAAGAUUUUAUACAAAAUGUCUCGAUACUAUUUGUAGUGAAACUUUAUAUUCUUCAACACCAUGAAGAGCCAAAUAUCAUGAAUCUCUUUUAUAUCUUGAAAUAUUCAAAUAAUAUAUUGUGAAAGGAAAGGUAAGUCAUUAUAAGUGAUGGGUGCCCAUGCCAUUGCGAUUUGCCUACGUACGUACACCAUUCUAGAUGGAUAGAUUUAUAUACGACCUGAUUGGGGAAAGGAAAGGAACGCCUAAUAAAAUUCAUUCUGAAAUCAUGAAUUGAAAACUUUAUUGAGGCAUAAACUAAAUUCCAGAGCUGCGGCUGUGGAUAAGACACGAUUCUUGACUUAUAUUUAUUGAAAUAUAUCUAAACUUUGCACCACCCAUUAUUUACCAAUUUCUGUGUUUUUAACGUGAAGGGCAUGAAAGGAACAAGAUGAUAUGUCGUCUCGCUUUUUCUUUUUUCUUUCUUUUUGGUUAAGAUAUAUAUAUCUAUAUCCUCUUGCUUUUUGAUUCAUAUGUUAAAAGGAAAAGCUCAAGGAUUGCAUAAAGACAGAAACUUCGUUGCGGUGUCCCAAACCCAAUCCCCAAUCUUCAAUCCCAUCCAUUAGAUAUUUGUUGGCCAAACCAAAUGCAUGUGAAGUCACCUUGUAGUAAAUAGAUUGUUGACACGUGGUCUUCUUCAUCUUCAUAUUCAAAGCCUCACUCUCUCACGUGGUCAUCGUCACUACGCAACUUCCCACAAACGUCCCUCUUUGUCCGCUCCCGACAGUUUCACCUUUCACGCUCUCCAAUUUUGUUUUCACACUCAACAGUGUCAACACCACUCAUCCAUAUCUGUUUUUAGUUAUUGCUUUUCAUCACUAGUAUUAAUUCUUUAUGCGCACAAACGAUUCUAAAUUAUUGAUGCUUAAAAUAGAUCAGUGUGAGUAGUUGAUGCAUUAGAAUUCUGUAAAAUUAAAAUUUAUAAUUACGAACACGAUGCAUUAACGACUUACAGUCAUACACACACAACUAAGACUCAUAAUUGCGCACACGAUACUUCAACUUCUCACAGUUGUGCACAAGUCCUCGCAUGCAUUCUAGCAUAAUUUGGAAAUAAUUAUAGCCAAAGUUCAACUGUUAUUUUACCAAAAGAAAAAUAAAGUAGUUGUACGGACAUGGGGUUCCUUCAUGCCUCCCUUGAAAUAGUCUAAAACAGUUCAAAAGUUCCAAAAUCCAGAUACCAAAACAAGCAGCCUUCAUAGCUUCACACAUACAGACAGAGGAUUCAGAACACUUAAAGCAUAUUUUCCAUCUCUUCUAUAUCACAUACUGACUGAACUAUACAUAUCAAAACCAAACCACAUCAAAAUAGUUCUUACAUAAGAAAAAACAAAACAAAAACAAAAACUCAGAUUCAGAAUCUGCAGCUGUCAUCAGUGCUUGGAGGCAAACCUGUUGCACAAGGCCAAAGCAUUGCUAGUGCACUGUGCAACAUUAAGCACCUGAGCUCUGAUUGAGGCCUUGAUUUUGCCAUCCAAGGCCUUGCCAGAGAACCCAUCAAGGCAAGUAUUGUCAUCAGUCAAAGCAGCACUAACCCAAGUCUCCACAUUGCUCAUGUGCCACACGAAAUCCUGGCCCUUGGAUUUGCCCAUGUUCUUUAGCUCCUGGACUGAUUUGCUGAGCCUGUCCACGGUAUCACCCAUCUCCUCCAAGCAGUCCUUGACAGCUCCGUACUCCCUAGCCUUCAGCCCCUUAAAUUUGGCCAACUUGGUCACAAAUGUCUUGGCCUUUUGAGCCCUGGUUAGGCUCACGGACAGGGCAGCCUGGGCCAGCUGCCGAGGGCUUUGCUGGAUUGAAGUGGCGUAGGAAGAGAGGGAUUGGAUGCAGACUUGUGGGUAGGUGGUGGCGCUGCACGAGCUCUUUAUGAAAUUUGUAUCACUUGUUGUGGCUGUAGAGUUGGCUGUGCCAACAAAGUAGAAAAUGGGAAGUAGCAGCAAAAAAAAAGAGGCUCUAGCCAUUGAAGAAAAGCUUCAAACUUUGGACUGGGAUUUGAGA
rnacentral:lncRNA from 1 species